rnacentral:lncRNA from 1 species
AAAAAAGAAGCCAUGAGAGGUGAGAAAAUCCUGCCCAUCUGCAGAUGAGGAAAUGGAGGGGCUCUAAGAACCCCUCCUAGGUCCUCGAGUAGAGCAAGACAAGUAGAGACAACAUUUUCAAGGAGGAACAGGGAACUCUGCAGGUUCCUGCUCAUAGGAGGUACAGACAGGCCUGGGUUCAAGUCCUCUGGUAGCUGUUUCUCUGCGGGUGACCUCACUGCAGUUUUCUCUGGAGAGCCUCUGUUCCCUCAUCUGUAAAUAAGAUAGAGGACCACUUCUGCCUCCUAAGGGUGCAUUCAGGAUUCAAGGUAGGGUAAGCACCAAGCACAG